rnacentral:rRNA from 1 species
GAUGAACGCUGGCGGCGUGCCUAAUACAUGCAAGUCGAGCGCCCUGCACUUUGCGCACGAGAUACUAUCUCGUGAAUAAAGUGUAGGGAGCGGCGGACGGCUGAGUAACGCGUAGGAACGUACCCCAAAGUGAGGAAUAAGCACCGGAAACGGUGUCUAAUGCCGCAUGUGCUCUAAGGAGUAAAGGAUUUAUCCGCUUUGGGAGCGGCCUGCGUAUGAUUAGUUUGUUGGUGAGGUAAUGGCUCACCAAGACUACGAUCAUUAGCUGGUCUGAGAGGAUGAUCAGCCAGACUGGGACUGAGACACGGCCCAGACUCCUACGGGAGGCAGCAGUAGGGAAUUUUCCACAAUGGACGAAAGUCUGAUGGAGCAACGCCGCGUGCAGGAUGAAGGCUUUCGGGUCGUAAACUGCUUUUAUGAGUGAAGAUUAAGACGGUAACUCAAGAAUAAGGGACGGCUAACUACG